GAUGAACGCUAGCGGCAGGCCUAAUACAUGCAAGUCGAACGGUAAAUAUUGUAGCAAUACGAUAUGAGAGUGACGUACGGGUGCGUAACACGUAUGCAACCUACCCAAAACUGGAGUAUAGCUCGGGGAAACCCGAAUUAACCCUUCAUAGUAUCACUGGAUGGCAUCAUUUGGUGAUUAAAACUCAGGUGGUUUUGGAUGGGCAUGCGUCUGAUUAGCUAGUUGGCGGGGUAAAGGCCCACCAAGGCGAUGAUCAGUAGGGGAACGGAGAGGUUGAUCCCCCACACGGGCACUGAGAUACGGGCCAGACUCCUACGGGAGGCAGCAGUAGGGAAUAUUGGUCAAUGGAUGCAAGUCUGAACCAGCCAUGCCGCGUGCAGGAAGAAGGCCUUCUGGGUUGUAAACUGCUUUUGCCAGAGGAUAAAAUGGGCGUGCGCGCCUAAUUGAAGGUACCUGGUGAAUAAGCCACGGCUAACUACGUGCCAGCCGCCGCCGUAA
rnacentral:rRNA from 1 species